AUACCACUCGAUUACAACUGACCCACAACGGUAAAACGAUUUUCAUAAUUGGAAGAUAUGCAUCUCACAAUAUCUUCAAGAUAUACGAGAGAUUAUUAGCAGCAGCUUUCCUCAUACAUUUCAAGAUUCCAAUCACGACAGACUUCAACCAUUGUCUCUUUAAAUCAUUCCUAGGAGCCAUCUAAGUAAGUCUGAAGUCAAAUGCACAUUAAGUAUAGAGC
rnacentral:lncRNA from 1 species